rnacentral:rRNA from 1 species
AUUGAACGCUGGCGGCGUGCCUAACACAUGCAAGUCGAGCGGUAACAGGUGUAGCAAUACAUGCUGACGAGCGGCGAACGGGUGAGUAAUGCUUUGGAAUCUUCCCAGUAGUGGGGAAUAACCAGUCGAAAGAUUGGCUAAUACCGCAUACGUCUGUAAAGGGAAAGCGGGGGCUCGCAAGACCUCGCGCUAUUGGAUGAGCCAAAGUCGGAUUAGCUAGUUGGGGGGUAAUGGCCUACCAAGGCGACGAUCCGUAGCUGGUCUGAGAGGACGACCAGCCACACCGGAACUGAGACACGGUCCGGACUCCUACGGGAGGCAGCAGUGGGGAAUAUUGGACAAUGGGGGAAACCCUGAUCCAGCGACGCCGCGUGUGUGAAGAAGGCCUGCGGGUUGUAAAGCAC